GACGAACGCUGGCGGCGUGCUUAACACAUGCAAGUCGAACGGAAAGGCCCUGCUUUUGUGGGGUGCUCGAGUGGCGAACGGGUGAGUAACACGUGAGUAUCCUGCCCUUGACUUUGGGAUAACUUCAGGAAACUGGGGCUAAUACCGGAUAGGAGCUCCUGCUGCAUGGUGGGGGUUGGAAAGUUUCGGCGGUUGGGGAUGGACUCGCGGCUUAUCAGCUUGUUGGUGGGGUAGUGGCUGACCAAGGCUUUGACGGGUAGCCGGCCUGAGAGGGUGACCGGCCACAUUGGGACUGCGAUACGGACCAGACUCCUACGGGAGGCAGCAGUGGGGAAUAUUGCACAAUGGGCGGAAGCCUGAUGCAGCAACGCCGCGUGCGGGAUGCCGGCCUUCGGGUUGUAAACCGCUUUCGCCUGUGACGAAGCGUGAGUGACGGUAAUGGGUAAAGAAGCACCGGCUAACUACGUG
rnacentral:rRNA from 1 species